GAAAGUGAUGAUAAGGAAUUGUUGCCCCAGUCUUAUUUGCAUUCAUUGCGGUGGAUGCAGCAUGGUGAUUGACUACGUCUGUCUGAUUC
rfam:Brassica oleracea var. oleracea cultivar TO1000 chromosome C5, whole genome shotgun sequence